rnacentral:rRNA from 1 species
AACGAACGCUGGCGGCAUGCCUAACACAUGCAAGUCGAACGGGAUCCUAGCUUGCUAGGUGAGAGUGGCGGACGGGUGAGUAACACGUGGGAAUCUGCCUUUUGGUUCGGGAUAACCGCGGGAAACUGCGGCUAAUACCGAAUGCCCUCGAGAGAGGAAAGAUUUAUCGCCAGAAGAGGAGCCCGCGUCCGAUUAGGUAGUUGGUGGGGUAAAGGCCUACCAAGCCGACGAUCGGUAGCUGGUCUGAGAGGAUGAUCAGCCACACUGGGACUGAGAUACGGCCCAGACUCCUACGGGAGCAGCAGUGGGGAAUAUUGGACAAUGGGGGCAACCCUGAUCCAGCAAUGCCGCGUGAGUGAUGAAGGCCUUAGGGUUGUAAAGCUCUUUUGCCAGGAAGAUGAUGACUGUACCUGGAGAAUAAGCCCCGGCUAAC